GACCACAAAACCUCUCUUGACCUCAAAUCGGGUGAGACUACCCGCUGAACUUAAGCAUAUCAAUAAGCGGA
rnacentral:rRNA from 1 species